rnacentral:rRNA from 1 species
AUUGAACGCUGGCGGCAGGCCUAACACAUGCAAGUCGAGCGGAGCGGCGGACGCGUGCGUACUGCCUAGGAAUCUGCCUGGUACUGGGGGAUAACGUCCGGAAACGGGCGCUAUUACCGCAUCCUAUCAGAUGCGCCUAGGCCGGAUUAGCUAGUUGGUGGGGUAAAGGCCUACCAGGGCGACGACCCGUAACUGGUCUGAGAGGAUGAUCAGACACACUGGAACUGAGACACGGUCCAGACUCCUACGGGAGGCAGCAGUGGGGAAUAUUGAACAAUGGGCGCAAGCCUGAUGCAGCCAUGCCGCGUGUAUGAAGAAGGCCUUCGGGUUGUAAAGUACUUUCAGCGGGGAGGCGUUACCCGCAGAAGAAGCACCGGCUAACUCCGUGCCAGCAGCCGCGGUAAUAC